CUACGUGCCAGCAGCCGCGGUAAUACGGAAGGUCCAGGCGUUAUCCGGAUUUAUUGGGUUUAAAGGGAGCGUAGGCCGUGGAUUAAGCGUGUUGUGAAAUGUAGACGCUCAACGUCUGAAUUGCAGCGCGAACUGGUUCACUUGAGUAUGCACAACGUAGGCGGAAUUCGUCGUGUAGCGGUGAAAUGCUUAGAUAUGACGAAGAACUCCGAUUGCGAAGGCAGCUUACGGGAGCACAACUGACGCUGAAGCUCGAAGGUGCGGGUAUCAAACAGGAUUAGAUACCCUGGUAGUCCGCACAGUAAACGAUGGAUGCCCGCUGUUGGUACCUGGUAUCAGCGGCUAAGCGAAAGCAUUAAGCAUCCCACCUGGGGAGUACGCCGGCAACGGUGAAACUCAAAGGAAUUGACGGGGACCCGCACAAGCGGUGGAGCAUGUGGUUUAAUUCGACGCAACGCGAAGAACCUUACCCGGUCUUGAGAUCC
rnacentral:rRNA from 1 species